UACGUAGGGUCCGAGCGUUGUCCGGAAUUACUGGGCGUAAAGCGUGCGCAGGCGGCUUCUUAGGCAUGACGUGAAAGCCCCGGGCUCAACCCGGGAGGGUCGUCGGUGAACCGGGGGGCUUGAGGCCGGUAGAGGUGGGUGGAACUCCUGGUGGAGUGGUGAAAUGCGUAGAGAUCAGGGAAGAACACCCCGUGCGAAGGCGGCCCACUGGGCCGGUACU
rnacentral:rRNA from 1 species